ACUAUUGCAAGAAUUACCAAAAUGUGACACAGAGACAUAAAGUGAGUGAAAGGUUUUGGGAAAACGGCACCCACAGACUUGUUCAACACAAGGUCUCCACAAACCUUCCAUCUGUAAAAAAAAUGCAGCAUCUGUGAAUGCGAUACAGUGAAGCACGGGAAGGUGAAGUGUGCCUGUACACAUUCGUAAGUUAUGGGAGGAUUUCCCUGUAAUACCGCUAUUACUGAGGAUUUAAGAGAGGUUUUAUAUUUUAAAUAUUUCUCAGAGCUUACUAGUUGAUACACUUCCAUAGGUUCAUGGAAAGGCACAAGGAAGUUAUUAAACCACUGUUUAAAAAGGAAAAAAUUUGUAACUGUGAGAGGUGACGAAAGUUCAGUAACCUUACUAUGGUAUUCAUUUCACAAUGUAUACUAAAUUCAAAUCAUGCUGUGCACCUUAAAAUUAUACAAUGUUAAAUGUCGACUGUAUCUCAGGAAAA